rnacentral:lncRNA from 1 species
AUGAUUUAACAUAUACUUAAGAUCUGAAAAUAAAAACUGCAUCGAUCUAAUCAAUACUGCAAACUAGAUCUAACGCUUAGAUCUAUCAAAAAUAAUCAAACAAGUUUAAGAACCAUUACCUAACUGUAAACUGUUGAUUUCUGCUGGUCCAAUACUUAGAUAGGUGCUCCUUCAGGUUACUAGCAGCCGCACAAAGACGUCCGGCCUCUAC